rnacentral:tRNA from 2 species
GCACCUUUAGUUUAAUGGUAGAACAAACGUCUCCAAAACGUUAUGUAAGGGGUUCAAUUCCUUUAAGGUAUGCUUA